UGCAGUUAGCAUCCAAAGCAUCAAACUCCUUUCUCAUGGCAUCCUGCCAUACUAGAACUGAUGCAGCUUGAGAGUAGUAAAGGGGUUCAGUCUCCAGAGGAGAAGAAGAAGACCCAGAGAAAGCAGGAAGGUUACAAAAAUAAUCCUUAAGAUAAGAAGGAGGAUUGUGUUGUCUGCCAGAUUUCCUGGGAACAGCAGUUGAUGUGGAAGAAGGUAAAGCAAGAGGGGAGAUGUCAGGGUUGAAAGGAGGACUGCAAUUGGAUUUGAAGAAGGAGAAUCUGGAACACGAGGUGGAGGUGGAGAGGAAGAGAUUGGAACAGAGAAGUCUUGGUCAGAAGAGGAAUGUUCAAGAGAAGGAAUAAUAUGAAAAGAGGAAGGAAAAGCAGGAGGAACAGAAGUGACAGAAGAGGUAGAUUUGAAAGGAAAAGAAGUUUCAUGAAAGACAACAUCCCUGGACACAAAACACUUUUUGGAACUAAGAUCAUUUAGUUUAUAACCCUUUUUGGCAAAAGGAUACCCUAGGAAAACACAAGAAAUGGCCCUAGGCUUUAACUUGUCCCAUUGAGGAAUGGGGACAGUAGCAUAGGCAAGGCAGCCAAAAGCCUUUAAAUGAGACUAAGUGGGUGCCUUACCACGCAAGAUUUCAUAAGGGGAUUUACCUGAAGGAGCCUGGAGGGUAUUCUGUUAAUAAUAUAGGUAGCAGUUAAUAGACAAUCAUCCCAGAAAGAAAUGGGUAAACCAGACUGGAAAAGUAAAGCUCUACAGGUUUCAAGAAGAGUUCUAUGUUUUCUCUCAACAACACCAUUCUGUUGGGGAGUAUGUGGGCAAGUAUUUUGGUGUAUGAUGCCAUGUUGGUUAAAAAAGAAUGUACCUACAAUGCUAGAUCCCAAUUCUAAAGCAUUGUCACUCCUAACAGUUUGUACAUUUGCAUUGAAUUGGGUCUUGACCAUACAGAGAAAAGAUUGAAGCAUGCAGAAAGCAUUGCUUUUAGACCCCUGGGGAGUAUGUGGGCAAGUGGUUUGGUGUAUGAUGCCAUGUUUGUUAAAAAAGGAUGUACCAGCAAUGCUAGAUCCCAAUUCUAAAGCAUUGUCACUCCUAACAGUUUGUACAUUUGCAUUGAAUUGGGUCUUGACCAUACAGAGAAAAGAUUGAAGCAUGCAGAAAGCAUUGCUUUUUGACCCUAACAAAUGUGUCCAGGUUGCCCUAGAAAAAUCAUCAACUAUUGUGAGAAAAUAUCUAGAACCAGAAGAGGUGGGGGUAUGAUAAGGUCCCCAAGUAUCAACAUGAAUCAACUGAAAAGGUUUAGAUGUACUAGUAGUGCUUUCAGGAAAGGGAAGCCUAGUUUGCCUGGCCAUAGGACAGGUAGAGCAUUGAAAAGGCUGUUUAGAAGCAAAUGGAAAAGAUAAAGCAGAAAUGUGUUUCAUGUUUACAAAAGGUAUAUGACCCAACCUAAAAUGCCAAAUGUAAUCCAUGUCUGUGGCAACAGUAUUAUUACACAUGGAACUGUUUACAUUCAAAGGCAAACCAACAAUUUGAUUACUAGAAUAGUCAUGUUUACAAGAAUUAGAAGAAGAAGAACAUACAGAAACAGAAGAACCACAAUUAGAAGAAGAUGAAGGUGGCACCCAAACAAGCUUGUACAGACCAGAAGAAGAACAUACAGAAACAGAAGAACCACAAUUAGAAGAAGAUGAAGUUGGCACCCAAACAAGCUUGUACAGAACAGCCUCCUCUUUACCAAGAUCCAGAGGCAUCCUCAGAGAAGGGGCCUGUAACAAGUGAAAUAAACAUGAAGUUGCAGUGAACAGUACUAUGCAAUGCAACUAUUUCACUAACUUGUGGACAGAAAUCAAGUUAUGUUUGAAAGAAGGAACAAGUAGGAC
rnacentral:lncRNA from 1 species